AUACUUCCCAGCCAUAUAAACACUCAACUUGCAUAGUAUCUGUUCUUAUCAGUUUAAUAUCUGAUAUGUGGCCCAUCAGUCCACAUGAUAUUAAAUUAAUUUCUUCGAAGGGAUGGCCCACCACCAAUAUCUUGCUAUUGGGGCCCUCGCAUGUGGCCCAUACAUUGCACUAUUGCAUGGAUCUAGCAAACACUUG